rnacentral:misc_RNA from 1 species
GAUGAAGAACGCAGCGAAAUGCGAUACGUAAUGUGAAUUGCAGAAUUCAGUGAAUCAUCGAAUCUUUGAACGCAUAUUGCGCUCUUUGGUAUUCCGAAGAGCAUGCUUGUUUGAGUAUCAGUAAACACCUCAACCUCUUCUUGAUUUUUCAAAAGGAGGGUGGACUUGAGCUAUCCCAACAACCUUUACCGGUCGGCGGGCGGCUUGAAAUGCAGGUGCAGCUGGACUUUUAUCUGAGCUAAAAGCAUAUCUAUUUAGUCCUCGUCAAACAGGAUUAUUACUUUUGCUGCAGCUAACAUAAAGGAUAAUUGUCCUCUUUGCUGACUGCUGCAGGAUUUUACGACACUUUAUGUGUUGUUCAACUCGAUCUCAAAUCAAGUAAGACUACCCGCUGAACUUAAGCAUAUCAAUAAGCGGAGGA